AAGAAAAGGAGAGAGAGAGAGAGAGAGAGAGAGAGAGAGAGAGAGAGGAAGAGAGAGAGGAAGAGAGAGAGGAUUAUAAGAGUUAAUCGGGGGGAUGAGGCGCGCAGCUUUUUGCGCUGUGCUCGCUCGCUUUUAGGAGGGGGAGGGGGGGGAGAUUACGACGUGAAGGAGAUUUUUUAGUGGGAUAUAUAAAUUUGUAUAUUAUAUUUAAUAAUAUAUUUCGAAGAAGCGACGGUCGCGGGUCUGCUCGGCGAGGCCGUCGCGCGUCGGCGAGGCGGGGCCCGGUCCAGGAACCUCGCAGUUUUAUGCGAGGAACCCCGCUCGCGUCGUACCACCGUAAAGGUACAGUACCCUCGCCCAGACCUGUGCCCGCGCAGUUAUUUAUCAAGCGUAAAUAUUUAAAUGAUGAAAGAUGGAGAGGGAAGUAGUGAGAGAGAGAGAGGGAGAGAUUUGUAUUAAAGCUUGUAAAGAAGAAAAAAAAAAGUUGCGAAACGGAAGGAAGUGCCAAGGGACAAGAGAGAAAUAACGUUCGCACAGCAUGCAAAAACUAGUACAACACAGCAAUAGAUUGCCGAAUAGAAUAGAAUGCAACGGAUAACAGAGGCAAAAAAUACAGAGAACAAUUACAGUGAAGCGCAGGUAAUGAGCAAAAGGAAAGAUAACAGAAUGGGAGAUAGCAAAUACGGAAUCAAGCCCUCGUUUAUUCUCACGGUCGACGAAUCAUUUACGCUACUUCAAGAUCCAAUGAUCAUAUCACGCGUCAUCUUUUUGGAUUUCCUUUUUGGCCCAUACUUUCAAAAUUUUGAUAAAGGGAGACAGUGACCGGACACCUGAGAGAAGAAGAAUUAAGCACGACGCGAAGCGAGACACGCGAAUCGCCCCUAUCACAGAGAUCCGUCGUCGCCGAGGAGAAGUUCCUGACGGAUAUAUUAUACACUCGGUCAGGACUUCGUCGAGUCGGCCUUUCGAUAGGUACCAUCGCCCACCCGCCCUCUUUUGGAAUAUCUCUUUCUAAAUUGAGCGAACGAAGCUUUUGCUCCGGGAAAAAACGCGGCGUCCGAUAUUUCGACGAGAGAAACAGAAAUUCGUUUAUUUUUCUUGGAAAAGUCACACCGCCGGUUUCUGGCGCGCGUAAAGAAACAUUUCGAACGUAUUGCCUCAAAAUUUUUUCAAAAGUUUAGGUAUAAUAUACAUAGUGUUUUUACGAAAUUUUUACGAAAUUAUCAAUUUGCGAAAAACGUUAAUCGCUGCGUUCUUCCCGCGGAUAGAUCUAUAUGCCCCCGCAUACGGAAACUCACACCUUUCGCUCGUUUAUUGGGUCUUUCAGUUUGAAUAUUUUUGUUGCGACGAAUUUUUAGAAAAAAUUUAAGGUUAAAAAAAUUGGAAGAAAAGAAUGAAAAUAAAAAAGAAGAUGAAACUUGUAUUAUUUUCAAAAGAUAACAAACAGAAGCCAGCCUCUUUGAUCG